GAUGAACGCUGGCGGCGUGCCUAAUACAUGCAAGUCGAGCGAACAGAUGAGGAGCUUGCUCCUCUGACGUUAGCGGCGGACGGGUGAGUAACACGUGGAUAACCUACCUAUAAGACUGGGAUAACUUCGGGAAACCGGAGCUAAUACCGGAUAAUAUAUUGAGCCGCAUGGUUCAAUAGUGAAAGACGGUUUUGCUGUCACUUAUAGAUGGAUCCGCGCCGCAUUAGCUAGUUGGUAAGGUAACGGCUUACCAAGGCAACGAUGCGUAGCCGACCUGAGAGGGUGAUCGGCCACACUGGAACUGAGACACGGUCCAGACUCCUACGGGAGGCAGCAGUAGGGAAUCUUCCGCAAUGGGCGAAAGCCUGACGGAGCAACGCCGCGUGAGUGAUGAAGGUCUUCGGAUCGUAAAACUCUGUUAUUAGGGAAGAACAAAUGUGUAAGUAACUAUGCACGUCUUGACGGUACCUAAUCAGAAAGCCACGGCGAACUACGU
rnacentral:rRNA from 1 species